GAAAUUGCAAGUUACAGUCUUUGCAAGCCCACACCAGAAUCUGGGUAAAAGCAUCCAUGCUCUGGUGCUCUGUCUGCUACAGGCGCAGGUGGAAGAGACAGAAGCAAUG